CGCCUGCCCAGUGACCCAGUUAAACGGCCGCGGUACCCUAACCGUGCGAAGGUAGCGCAAUCACUUGUUCUUUAAAUGAGGACUAGUAUGAAUGGCAUCACGAAGGCUACACUGUCUCCCCCCUCCAAUCAGUGAAACUGAUCUCCCCGUGAAGAAGCGGGGAUAAAACCAUAAGACGAGAAGACCCCAUGGAGCUUAAAACUCAGUUACACCUGCACACCAAUAUAUCACAUCAACCAUGCAGACCUGUCUACUAGUUUUCGGUUGGGGUGACCACGGAGCAAAACAAAACCUCCACGACGAAAGGACAUCUCCCUAAUCCAAGAGCAACAACUCUAAGAAUCAAAAAAUUGACGUUGCUUGAUCCAAAUUUAUUUGAUCAACGAACCAAGUUACCCUGGGGAUAACAGCGCAAUCCAUUUCAAGAGCUCCUAUCGACAAAUGGGUUUACGACCUCGAUGUUGGAUCAGGGUAUCCUAGUGGUGCAGCCGCUACUGAAGGUUCGUUUGUUCAACGAUUAAAACCCUACGUGAUCUGAGU
rnacentral:rRNA from 1 species